CCAAGUCGCAUGUUGCUAGGCAGGAUGCAUCGGGCUUGUUCAUAACGGUGCCCCUGAAGUAACUGUUCAUGCUGGCUCAGACCUUGGAUGCGUAAACAUGGAGACUGUGGUUGUUUGUGCAGGCUGCAAGUCCAACUGGCAAGCAAGAAAAAGGACUAAACGUUCAAGCCUUGCAUGACUUCACUCCAGAGGGUCCGGGAGAGCUGGGCUUGAAGGCCGGUGACAUCAUCAACAUGGUGGAGCGUGUGGACAGUGAAUGGUACAGGGGGACUUGUAAAGGAUCCACUGGUUACUUCCCAGUUAACUUUGUCAAAGUGCUGUCGGAUGCACCACCAAAAUUUGCUCCCGAGAAGAAACCAAAGCCACUUUCUGCUAUAGUCACGUAAGUUUUCUUUUCUUUAAAGAAUUAUUUUAGUGCUUAAAUUCCAGUUUUUGUGACAUGGAA